UCCGCCCACCUGCACAGGUUUGUGGGUAGCAUGUUUGGGUGUUUCGUGCCUGCAGAGAGGCAGCUCGCGCUGCGUCGUAGCUUCUAGACAAACGUGAAUUAACGGACAGAGAAACGGGAGAAACCGGAAGGAAAGACUGAGGCAGAGUCUUCGGAAGACAACGUAAGUGUCACGUGAGUGGUCGCUCGUGAAAGCGGCUCCAGUUUGAAAGUGCGGACAUUUCCGACGGUUUCCUCGUGUCCUGCUGCACGGACCCGGAGCACCGUGGCCUUCCUGGACGCCAGCAUGUUUGUUUCCGGUGUUUAACCCUCACGGAGACCGGUUGGGUUUUUUGUGUUGGUUUGUUUCUUCUAAGGACCUGUCCAGUGAUACAGAUGGCGAGCCUUCCCACCUGGAUCUUGAGAGACCAGGAUAUCCUGUGGUCAGUGGACAGGUUUUUCUGCACUCUGUGGUGUGGUAGGACCAGUAUCUGCAGACACCCUCACACUCAGCCCCAUACACCCCCCCCCCUUCAACACGGCGCACAUACACUGACCCCUCGCCCAUGGACAUCUGAAUCCCCCAUACUUACCUUUUUUUUUUGACAUCCCGGGAUCUUUGGACUUGUACUAACUUUUUUGUGACUUUUUUUUGCGCUGUGGACUCAAGCCGACAUACUACCUGUUUGUUCCCUGUAACGUUUCUUUGGUGGCUAAUGUAUCAGAGAUCCUCCUUAAGUGAAUGGUGUUUGUAAUAUAAAGUGAUAUAAGGUUAUUCUGGUUAUUGUGAACUGUGGAUUGGAUCAGAAAAGCUUGAAUUUGAGGUGACACACAAAAUUCUGGUGAAAAGUGUGCAUCCGAGAUAGAAUUAAUACUGGCCAAUGUGAUACCUUAUAAUUGCCUUUGGUGAUAUUAUGGUUAUAAUACCAACCUGUUGCACUGUGAAGCAUGUUUUUAUUUUUCUACUAAAGCCUGUAUAUUUUUACAUUUA